CCCCGCCCCGAAUUGUUUGCAAACAGGGAGGAGAAGCGGUUACGUUAAGACCAGAAGGAUGAACUGCGAACGGCUCAUUACAACAGUUAUAAUUUCUUUGAUUAGUAAAAUAUAAGGAAUACCUUUGUGAAUAAUAAAGAUAAUACUUGAAACGAUCCUAAUUGAAUCAAAUCAAUUAGGCAUAAUUAUCAUCCGAUAGUUAUAGGAAAGAAGUUUAUUAAGAAAAAGAACAAAUUUUACAAUUGUAGAAAUCGUAAGAUUUUAACAAGUAAUCCAUGAAAAUAUCUGAUCUAUCAACUAGUUGGUAGUAUAGAGGACUACCAAGGUUAUAACGGAUAACGAGAAAUUAGGGUUUGACAUCGGAAAAGGAGCUUUAAAAAUGGCUACUACUUCUAAGGAAGGGAGCAGGCGCGUAAAUUACCCACUUUUAACAUAAAGAGGUAGUGACCACAAAUAACUCUUUUAAAGCCGUAAGGUUUUAAUUGAAGGAAUGAAUAUAAUGUAAAUAAUUAUAUGAAAGCAAUUGGAGGGCAAGUCUGGUGCCAGCAGCCGCGGUAAUUCCAGCUCCCCAAAAAUGAAACCGGUUAGAUGUAUACAUACGGAGAAAAAUCAAG
rnacentral:rRNA from 1 species